GACGAACGCUGGCGGCGUGCUUAACACAUGCAAGUCGAACGAUGAAGCCCAGUUUGCUGGGUGGAUUAGUGGCGAACGGGUGAGUAACACGUGGGCAACCUGCCCCAAACUCUGGGAUAACUCCUCGAAAGAGGUGCUAAUACCGGAUACGAACUAGACAGACAUCUGUACUAGUUGGAAGGUUUUUCGGUUUGGGAUGGGCCCGCGGCCUAUCAGCUUGUUGGUGAGGUAACGGCUCACCAAGGCUACGACGGGUAACCGGCCUGAGAGGGCGACCGGUCACACUGGGACUGAGACGCGGCCCAGACUCCUACGGGAGGCAGCAGUGGGGAAUAUUGCGCAAUGGGCGAAAGCCUGACGCAGCGACGCCGCGUGAGGGAUGAAGGUCUUCGGAUCGUAAACCUCUUUCAGUAGGGACGAAGCGAAAGUGACGGUAUCUAAAGAAGAAGCACCGGCUAACUACGUGCCAGCAGCCGCGGUAA
rnacentral:rRNA from 1 species